AUUGAACGCUGGCGGAAUGCUUUACACAUGCAAGUCGAACGGCAGCACGGGGCAACCUGGUGGCGAGUGGCGAACGGGUGAGUAAUACAUCGGAACGUGCCCAGUCGUGGGGGAUAACGUAGCGAAAGUUACGCUAAUACCGCAUACGAUCUAUGGAUGAAAGCGGGGGAUCGCAAGACCUCGCGCGAUUGGAGCGGCCGAUGUCAGAUUAGGUAGUUGGUGGGGUAAAGGCCUACCAAGCCGACGAUCUGUAGCUGGUCUGAGAGGACGACCAGCCACACUGGGACUGAGACACGGCCCAGACUCCUACGGGAGGCAGCAGUGGGGAAUUUUGGACAAUGGGCGCAAGCCUGAUCCAGCCAUUCCGCGUGCAGGAUGAAGGCCUUCGGGUUGUAAACUGCUUUUGUACGGAACGAAAAGGCUCUGGUUAAUACCUGGGGCUCAUGACGGUACCGUAAGAAUAAGCACCGGCUAACUACGUGCCAGCAGCCGCCGUAAAAC
rnacentral:rRNA from 1 species